GGGGGCGUAAGGUUUCGACGGGGAAAAUGUAGGUUUAAGGCGCAUGCCGAGGUCUGGCACCUCGUAAAACAGCCAGACAAAAAUAGUUGCAAACGACGAACUUGCACUCGCUGCUUAAUUAAUGCAGCGACGUCCACACAGGGUUUGCCUGCGGCUCUGUGAUGGGCGCCAACUUAGCAGGCUGGUCCAAAGUGACGCCUCUAAGCUUUGGACGAGAAUUUAGAGGCUUGCUGCUGAUUGGGCCUGCCUGUGGGCACAUCAGCAGGACUUCAAAACACAGGCUAAGCAUGUAGUGCCUUAAGCUGAAGUUUCCUCGGACGCGGGUUCGAAUCCCGCCGCCUCCACCA
rnacentral:tmRNA from 1 species